UACGGAGGGUGCAAGCGUUAUCCGGAUUCACUGGGUUUAAAGGGUGCGUAGGUGGGCAAGUAAGUCAGUGGUGAAAUCUCCGGGCUUAACCCGGAAACUGCCAUUGAUACUAUCUGUCUUGAAUACCGUGGAGGUGAGCGGAAUAUGUCAUGUAGCGGUGAAAUGCUUAGAUAUGACAUAGAACACCAAUUGCGAAGGCAGCUCACUACACGAAUAUUGACACUGAGGCACGAAAGCGUGGGGAUCAAACAGG
rnacentral:rRNA from 1 species